GUGCAAUUUUUGAGAAUGGUCUUGUCCCGGAUGGCACUUUCAUUGUACAAAAUUGCAAGAGCAUAUGGGUUUUUUGCUUGCCUCGUUGACUUUGUACCCACGGCAAUGCAGGCCAAUGAAAACCUGGACAGA
rnacentral:snoRNA from 1 species